rnacentral:rRNA from 1 species
UUGACGGGGACCCGCACAAGCGGUGGAGCAUGUGGUUUAAUUCGAAGCAACGCGAAGAACCUUACCAAAUCUUGACAUCCUCUGACCCCUCUAGAGAUAGAGUUUUCCCCUUCGGGGGACAGAGUGACAGGUGGUGCAUGGUUGUCGUCAGCUCGUGUCGUGAGAUGUUGGGUUAAGUCCCGCAACGAGCGCAACCCUUAAGCUUAGUUGCCAUCAUUAAGUUGGGCACUCUAAGUUGACUGCCGGUGACAAACCGGAGGAAGGUGGGGAUGACGUCAAAUCAUCAUGCCCCUUAUGAUUUGGGCUACACACGUGCUACAAUGGACAAUACAAAGGG